AAAUUGAAGAGUUUGAUCAUGGCUCAGAUUGAACGCUGGCGGCAGGCCUAACACAUGCAAGUCGAACGGUAACAGGAAGCAGCUUGCUGCUUCGCUGACGAGUGGCGGACGGGUGAGUAAUGUCUGGGAAACUGCCUGAUGGAGGGGGAUAACUACUGGAAACGGUGGCUAAUACCGCAUAACGUCGCAAGACCAAAGAGGGGGACCUUCGGGCCUCUUGCCAUCAGAUGUGCCCAGAUGGGAUUAGCUAGUUGGUGAGGUAACGGCUCACCAAGGCGACGAUCCCUAGCUGGUCUGAGAGGAUGACCAGCCACACUGGAACUGAGACACGGUCCAGACUCCUACGGGAGGCAGCAGUGGGGAAUAUUGCACAAUGGGCGCAAGCCUGAUGCAGCCAUGCCGCGUGUAUGAAGAAGGCCUUCGGGUUGUAAAGUACUUUCAGCGGGGAGGAAGGUGUUGUGGUUAAUAACCGCAGCAAUUGACGUUACCCGCAGAAGAAGCACCGGCUAACUCCGUGCCAGCAGCCGCGGUAAUACGGAGGGUGCAAGCGUUAAUCGGAAUUACUGGGCGUAAAGCGCACGCAGGCGGUCUGUCAAGUCGGAUGUGAAAUCCCCGGGCUCAACCUGGGAACUGCAUUCGAAACUGGCAGGCUUGAGUCUUGUAGAGGGGGGUAGAAUUCCAGGUGUAGCGGUGAAAUGCGUAGAGAUCUGGAGGAAUACCGGUGGCGAAGGCGGCCCCCUGGACAAAGACUGACGCUCAGGUGCGAAAGCGUGGGGAGCAAACAGGAUUAGAUACCCUGGUAGUCCACGCCGUAAACGAUGUCUACUUGGAGGUUGUGCCCUUGAGGCGUGGCUUCCGGAGCUAACGCGUUAAGUAGACCGCCUGGGGAGUACGGCCGCAAGGUUAAAACUCAAAUGAAUUGACGGGGGCCCGCACAAGCGGUGGAGCAUGUGGUUUAAUUCGAUGCAACGCGAAGAACCUUACCUGGUCUUGACAUCCACAGAACUUUUCCAGAGAUGGAUUGUGCCUUCGGGAACUGUGAGACAGGUGCUGCAUGGCUGUCGUCAGCUCGUGUUGUGAAAUGUUGGGUUAAGUCCCGCAACGAGCGCAACCCUUAUCCUUUGUUGCCAGCGAUUAGGUCGGGAACUCAAAGGAGACUGCCAGUGAUAAACUGGAGGAAGGUGGGGAUGACGUCAAGUCAUCAUGGCCCUUACGACCAGGGCUACACACGUGCUACAAUGGCGCAUACAAAGAGAAGCGACCUCGCGAGAGCAAGCGGACCUCAUAAAGUGCGUCGUAGUCCGGAUUGGAGUCUGCAACUCGACUCCAUGAAGUCGGAAUCGCUAGUAAUCGUGGAUCAGAAUGCCACGGUGAAUACGUUCCCGGGCCUUGUACACACCGCCCGUCACACCAUGGGAGUGGGUUGCAAAAGAAGUAGGUAGCUUAACCUUCGGGAGGGCGCUUACCACUUUGUGAUUCAUGACUGGGGUGAAGUCGUAACAAGGUAACCGUAGGGGAACCUGCGGUUGGAUCACCUCCUUACCUUAAAGAAGC
rnacentral:rRNA from 1 species